rnacentral:rRNA from 1 species
AGUGAACGCUGGCGGUAGGCCUAACACAUGCAAGUCGAACGGCAGCACAGUAAGAGCUUGCUCUUACGGGUGGCGAGUGGCGGACGGGUGAGGAAUACAUCGGAAUCUACUUUUUCGUGGGGGAUAACGUAGGGAAACUUACGCUAAUACCGCAUACGACCUACGGGUGAAAGCAGGGGCUCUUCGGAACUUGCGCGAUUGAAUGAGCCGAUGUCGGAUUAGCUAGUUGGCGGGGUAAAGGCCCACCAAGGCGACGAUCCGUAGCUGGACUGAGAGGAUGAUCAGCCACACUGGAACUGAGACACGGUCCAGACUCCUACGGGAGGCAGCAGUGGGGAAUAUUGGACAAUGGGCGCAAGCCUGAUCCAGCCACACCGCGUGGGUGAAGAAGGCCUUCGGGUUGUAAAGCCCUUUUGUUGGGAAAGAAAAGCAGCAGGUUAAGACCCCGCUGUUCUGACGGUACCCAAAGAAUAAGCACCGGCUAACUUCGUG